rnacentral:rRNA from 1 species
UACGUAGGCAGCGAGCGUUGUUCGGAGUUACUGGGCGUAAAGAGUGCGUAGGCGGUUUUCUAAGUUUGGUGUGAAAUCUCCCGGCUUAAACUGGGAGGGUGCGCCGAAGACUGGAAGGCUAGAGUAUGGGAGAGGUAAGCGGAAUUCUGGUGUAGCGGUGAAAUGCGUAGAUAUACAGGAGGAACACCUGCGGUGUAGACGGCUUACUGGACCAUAACUGACGCUGAGGCACGAAAGCGUGGGUAGCAAACAGG